rnacentral:lncRNA from 1 species
AAACCCUAGCUCAACUUUAAAUGAUCAAGUUGAAGGGUAAAUUGAAGCUCAAAUUCAUGGAUAAACAUGGAUUAAUGAUCACCAUCACAAGAGGAUCAUAAGUUGAUGCUUAACAAGCGACAUGGAAGCUUGGGAAGGAAGUGGGUCAAAUGGGACUAAUGCGCACGGGAAGCAUAUUCGGAUGCUAGGUAAGUGAAACUUACACCCCCUUUUUUGUAGAAUAUCUAUUCAUCGUAUAGAUUAAGAGCAUGAUAAGCUAAUAUAUGAAGAAUGAUGUUUCGACAAGUUUGAUACGGGUCGGAACAUGUGACCAUGUCAAGAAACUAAGUUUGAGGGUUGAAAAGGGUAAAAAGGGUAUUACAGCAAUUUUGACUAUGAGUUAAUGAAGAAAUAAGUUACAAGGGAGGAAUAAUGAAUAAUUACAACCCCAUAAGGAUGAACUUGUUUUUUUAAGACCAAUUCGGUCAAUGGUGAAGAUAUCGCCAUUUGGCGAUAUCGACUAAUGGUUGUUUUGUUAAGUACUAUGUAUUCACAAGAUGAAUGGCGAAAGGAUUUGCAUUGCUAUUAACUAGCAAUUGAGUGGGUAAGCAUUAAAACGGGUCAUAGCUUUGACCCGAGCCAGGUAGGUGUGAUUAGAGUCAUGGUUAAGUCGUAGGGAUUGGUUAAAAAUGGAUAGAGUCCUUCGUUGCAAAGGAUGAAACAAAGUUGACCAAAACACCCUCGAUGGGUAUAUCGGGUAAACAAUCUUCAAAAUUGUUUAGAAACACGUUGUUUGAUUAAGUGAAAUGUUUUAGACAAGUGUGAAAGUGAGAAGUGUGGUUUUUGUCAGUCAUAGACCUUAAAAUGCGCAAAUACCCUUAACGGGUCAAAAUAAGCUCUUGAGCGAAAAUGGGUUAAGAGGAUACAAGACAUCCGAGAAAUCUAUCUUUUAUGAUAGACAAAUGUUGAAAUUAUUAGGUUCAUAAGAAGUUAUGGUCAAACAAACAAGUUAUGUUGAUAUAUGCAUGAACGGGUCAAAAUUUGGUAAAAGGGUAAUAAGCCGAAGGCUUAAAAGUCAUAAAGUUAGGUAGUCCAAAUAUUAGAUUUUCACUCCAUGUGAUGGAGAAUUAAAUUACGGUCGCGUAGCAAAAAGAAUCGGGUAAAACGGAUCAAAAACGAGAAAGUUAUGCUCGUUUCCGUGAAAUUGAGUCGUGCUGGGAAUUAUACAGCACCAGCUGCAACAGUCUGAUGAAAUCAGGCCGUGGCGUAGCGCGACGGGGAAGGCCCCAGGCCGUGGCGCUACGCGACGGGGGUCAGUUUCGCGAAAAUCGUUUAUUUUAAUUGUUAAUGCAUUGCGAACCCGUCUGGACCGUUUUUAAACGCGUAUAAGCUAAGAAUGAUUAGUUUAUUCCUUGUUUUAGGGAAAGUAGAUACAUAUGAAGGUAUGUAUGUAUGAAUAUAAGUGGUAUAUAUGAGUGUAUGCACGUAUGUAGGCAUGCGUGAAGAUAUGAAUGCAUGUAUGUAUGUGUGUAUGUAGGUAGUAUGUGUAUGUAUAUAUAUAUCCAAGUGAGUAUGUACGAAUGUAUGCACGUAUGUAGGGUUGUGUGAAGGCAUGUAAUAGGUAUGUAUGUAUGCAUGUAUGCAUGUAUGCAUGUAUGUAUGUAUGUAUGCAUGCACGUAAUGUAGGCACGUACGUAUGAAUGUAGGUACGUAUGUAUGUAAGUAGUCAUGUGUGAACGGAUGCAUAUAUGUAAGUAUGUAUGAAAGUAUAUACGCAUGUAUUCAUUGAAAUUGAGUAUUGACGAUAAUAAUAGCGUGCCUUGUGAACGAAGUGUAACGCAGGUACAACGAGAAAGUCUCACCACGGAUUGUAUGAUCAGAUGGAAAGCUGGGAUGUAAAGAGUUAACGGAACGAAAAGUAAACGUGAAUAAAUCUUGUAUGUUUAUAAUGCGUACUAAUGUUAUUAAUUUUAUGUGGUGAGUGCAGGUAGUACGAGUCAUGAGGAUCAUCAAGGGAUAGAGAUCGAGGAUCGAGUCACUAGUGAGAUUGUACGGGAACGUUGAUGUAUAUAAUGUAGUAAACAUAAGCUAUGUUUUUACUUAGUAAAUAAGUCGAUUGAUGGAUUUAUGUGAAAGAGUUAUGUUAAGGUUAAAUUUUAAGUAAGUUAAGGUAUUUAUAAUGAAUUUUUUUU